GACGAACGCUGGCGGCGUGGAUUAGGCAUGCAAGUCGAACGGUAUCAUCCUUUCGGGGGUGAGAGAGUGGCGAACUGGUGAGUAACACGUAGGUUAUCUACCCUCAAGACGGGGACAACCCAGGGAAACUUGGGCUAAUACCGGAUGUGAGCAACUUUUAGUUGUUUGAAAGGUGGCGUAAGCUGUCGCUUGGGGAUGAGCCUGCGUCCUAUUAGUUAGUUGGUGAGGUAACGGCUCACCUAGGCAAUGAUAGGUAGGCGGCCUUAACGGGUGGUCGCCCACACUGGGAUUGAGAUACGGCCCAGACUCCUACGGGAGCAGCAGUCGAGAAUAGUCUACAAUGGUCGGAAGACUGAUAGUGCGACGCCGCGUGAACGAUGAAUCCCUUCGGGGUUAAAGUUCUUUUAUAUGUGAGCAGUGCUUCUUAUAUUAACAGUAUGGGGAGAGAGAUAUUAGCAUAUGAAUAAGCAACGGCUAAACUCCGUGCCAGCAGCCGGGUAA
rnacentral:rRNA from 1 species